GGCCCCUCGCCCUCGUUCAGGAGCGGGCGCUGCCCCCGGAGCGGCGCGUCCUGGCCCACACCCGGCCCGGGGGCUCCUGUGGGUGCCGGCACGGCCCGUUCCCACAGGCUUUGCAUCGGACCGGGGCAGCAGCUCAACCCACAGAAGACACAAGAGAGCUGGAAACACUCAAACCCUGAGCAGCUUCCAAGGAUCCUGCCCACUCCCAUGCCACGAGUCCUGCUGUAGGAAUUAAAUUAAUCACAUGCUGCUCUGACCA